GGCUUUAAAAAAAAUCAGCCCAACACUAAUCCAUUGCUGCAGCCCAUAACCCGAAACUCAAUAGACCCACAUAUAAAAUCUGUUCUCAUAACCCUAAUCAUUAUCACCAGACCUUUUGACUUCCCACUCCCUGCGCUCCGGCUUCUCUCUAAUGCGGCUGGAGUUGCUGCGUAGCUUUACCAACUGGAUUAUAUUGCUGCUACGACCUCUCCCGGAGGAGUUCUGCACUAAGAUCUCAGUGAUCUGAAGGGACGGUGUCGGAUCUGCAACGCUGCCACUGAGUUCGGCUGCCCUGUGGUGAACGCUCCCAUCGCAAACACCAUGUUCAAUCAGCUAAGUUCAUAUUUCCCGUAAUUAAUUUUCAGGUAUGAAGCAGUAUAGUAGAAAACAUUGUGGAGUUACAGAAAAUGCAUAUAGAUCUUAUGAAUAGUAUAAGAUAAGUAAAAAUCACAUCUUCAAUAAUGUAUAUUUUUUACCGUAAUAAAGAAUAAUAGAAUGUGUACUAACCUUUCCAUUUGAUGGUUGUUUUCUCUUGUUGCCAAUAAUGGUUGGUGUUGUUAUCCUCUUCAUA